rnacentral:rRNA from 1 species
CCUACGGGUGGCAGCAGUGGGGAAUAUUGGACAAUGGGGGCAACCCUGAUCCAGCCAUGCCGCGUGUGUGAAGAAGGCCCUCGGGUUGUAAAGCACUUUCAGUGGGGAAGAACGCCUGGUGGUUAAUACCCAUCAGGAAAGACAUCACUCACAGAAGAAGCACCGGCUAACUCCGUGCCAGCAGCCGCGGUAAUACGGAGGGUGCGAGCGUUAAUCGGAAUUACUGGGCGUAAAGCGCGCGUAGGUGGCUUGAUAAGCCGGUUGUGAAAGCCCCGGGCUCAACCUGGGAACGGCAUCCGGAACUGUCAAGCUAGAGUGCAGGAGAGGAAGGUAGAAUUCCCGGUGUAGCGGUGAAAUGCGUAGAGAUCGGGAGGAAUACCAGUGGCGAAGGCGGCCUUCUGGACUGACACUGACACUGAGGUGCGAAAGCGUGGGUAGCAAACAGGAUUAGAUACCCGUGUAGUC